GGGUUGUGAGGUUAAGCGACUAAGCGUACACGGUGGAUGCCCUGGCAGUCAGAGGCGAUGAAGGACGUGCUAAUCUGCGAUAAGCGCCGGUAAGGUGAUAUGAACCGUUAUAACCGGCGAUUUCCGAAUGGGGAAACCCAGUGUGAUUCGUCACACUAUCAUUAACUGAAUCCAUAGGUUAAUGAGGCGAACCGGGGGAACUGAAACAUCUAAGUACCCCGAGGAAAAGAAAUCAACCGAGAUUCCCCCAGUAGCGGCGAGCGAACGGGGAGGAGCCCAGAGCCUGAAUCAGCAUGUGUGUUAGUGGAAGCGUCUGGAAAGGCGCGCGAUACAGGGUGACAGCCCCGUACACAAAAGCGCAUGUGCUGUGAGCUCGAUGAGUAGGGCGGGACACGUGGUAUCCUGUCUGAAUAUGGGGGGACCAUCCUCCAAGGCUAAAUACUCCUGACUGACCGAUAGUGAACCAGUACCGUGAGGGAAAGGCGAAAAGAACCCCGGCGAGGGGAGUGAAAAAGAACCUGAAACCGUGUACGUACAAGCAGUGGGAGCACAGGUUUACCUGUGUGACUGCGUACCUUUUGUAUAAUGGGUCAGCGACUUAUAUUCUGUAGCAAGGUUAACCGUAUAGGGGAGCCGUAGGGAAACCGAGUCUUAACCGGGCGUUAAGUUGCAGGGUAUAGACCCGAAACC
rnacentral:rRNA from 1 species